UCGGGAAUCUUCCGCAAUGGGCGCAAGCCUGACGGAGCGACGCCGCGUGAGCGAUGAAGGCCUUCGGGUUGUAAAGCUCUGUGGGGAGGGAAGAAUAAGGGCAGGUUAAUAGCCUGUUUGAUGACGGUACCUCCUUAGCAAGCACCGGCUAACUCUGUGCCAGCAGCCGCGGUAAGACAGAGGGUGCAAACGUUGUUCGGAUUUACUGGGCGUAAAGCGCGUGUAGGCGGCUUUGCAAGUCGGAUGUGAAAGCCCACGGCUCAACCGUGGAAGUGCAUCCGAAACUGCAUGGCUUGAGUCUCGGAGAGGAAGGUGGAAUGCUUGGUGUAGAGGUGAAAUUCGUAGAUAUCAAGCAGAACACCUGCGGCGAAGGCGGCCUUCUGGACGAUGACUGACGCUGAGACGCGAAAGCGUGGGGAGCAAACAG
rnacentral:rRNA from 1 species